AUGCCUUCCAUCGCCACCAUCCCCGAGCCCAUGGCCGUCGACGACUCCGCCUCCAAGAAGGCCAAGCGCAAGCAGCUCAAGGCCGAGGCAGCCGCCGCGGCCGAGGCGGCCUCCUCCGGCAAGAAGGACAAGAAGGAGAAGAAGGACAAGAAGCGCAAGACCAAGGAGCCGGCCUCCUCCGACGAGGAGGGCCGGAGCAGCACCAGCUCCGAGUCGGACCGGGCGCCCGCCGCCAAGAAGGCCAAGAAGGAGAAGAAGGAGAAGAAGGACAAGAAGGCCAAGGCCGAGCCGGCCGAGGAGCCGGCCAACGACGACGGGGAGCUCACCGCCAGCGGCGAGGAGGAGGAGCCCGCCGACCCCAACGCGCUCGCCAACUUCCGGAUUUCCGAGAAGCUCAAGGACAAGCUCAAGUCCAAGGGCAUCAACGCGCUCUUCCCCAUCCAGGCCACCACCUUCGCCCUCGUCCUCGACGGCAACGACCUCGUCGGCCGCGCGCGCACCGGACAGGGCAAAACACUCGCUUUUGUUCUACCCAUAUUGGAAUCAUUGGUUAAUGGGCCACACAAGGCAACAAGAAGGACUGAUUAUGGCAGGCCUCCAAGUGUUUUGGUUCUGCUGCCAACCAGAGAGCUGGCCAAUCAGGUGCAUGCAGACUUUGAGUUUUAUGGUGGAACGUUUGGGCUUUCUACAUGCUGUGCUUAUGGAGGUUCCCCCUACCGUCCUCAAGAGAAUGCACUGAGACAGGGGGUGGACAUUGUUGUUGGGACUCCUGGCCGUGUCAAGGAUCUUAUUGAAAAGCAAAAACUCAACUUGAGGUGCUUGAAAUUCCGUGUCCUUGAUGAGGCUGAUGAAAUGCUUAACAUGGGGUUUAAGGACGAUGUCGAGCUUAUUCUUGGCAAGGUUGAAGAUGUUACAAAAGUACAGACACUUCUUUUCAGUGCUACUCUACCAGAAUGGGUAAAAAAGCUCUCAAUGAGCUUUCUGAAAGCUGACAGGAAAACAGUUGAUCUUGUUGGCAACGAGAAAAUGAAAGCCAGUGCGUCUGUUAAGCAUCUUGCUCUUCCUUGCAACAAGGCUGCAAGGUCACAGAUUAUUCCAGACAUCAUAAAAUGCUACAGCCAUGGAGGACGGACCAUUAUUUUCACCGAGACAAAAGAAUCUGCUUCUGAGCUCUCUAGUUUGAUUCCUGGAUCCCGUGCCCUGCAUGGAGAUAUCGCACAAGCUCAACGUGAAGUCGUCAUUGCUGGAUUUAGGAGCGGGAAGUUCCUUGUUUUGGUUGCUACAAAUGUGGCAGCAAGAGGCCUUGACAUUAAUGAUGUGCAGCUUAUCAUUCAGUGUGAACCUCCACGCGAUGUUGAAGCCUACAUACAUCGGUCAGGCCGGACAGGGAGGGCUGGCAAUACUGGCAUUGCUGUCAUGCUUUUUGAACCCAGAUAUAAAUUCGGUGUGACCAGAAUAGAGAGGGAGUCUGGGGUGAAGUUUGAACAUAUAUCUGCACCGCAGCCUACUGAUGUGGCACAAUCUGCUGGCAAUGAAGCAGCAGAGGCCAUUGCAAGUGUGUCUGACAGUGUUAUUCCUGUUUUCCGGCAACAAGCAGAGGAACUGCUAAGCAACUCCAGCAUGUCUGCAGUGGAUCUACUAGCCAAAGCACUCGCAAAGGCAGUAGGCUACACUGACAUAAAGAAGAGAUCUUUGCUUUCAUCUAUGGAGAACCAUACUACACUACACCUUCAAACUGGCCGACCGUUGUACACACCAUCGUUUGUUAUUAGUACAUUGAAAAGGUUCAUGCCAGAAGAUAGACUCUCAAGUCUACAUGGUAUAACCCUGACCACUGAUGGGACAAGCGCUGUAUUUGAUGUUCCUUCAGCAGAGGUUCAAGACUACAUUCAAGGCGCGGAGAACGCGGCCGGGGUGACAAUCGAUGAAGUGAAGCAACUGCCAGCCUUGCAAGAGAGGGAGCAGUCAAGGGGUAACUCCGGCGGGUCGAGGUUUGGUGGCCGUGGAGGCGGUGGAAGGAGGUUCGGUGGUGGCGGAGGUGGACGGUUUGGUGGUGGCGGAAGAGGCAGGGGAGGCGGCGGAGGCAGGUUUAACAGGAGGUGA
rnacentral:rRNA from 1 species